rnacentral:misc_RNA from 1 species
UCAAACUUGGUCAUUUAGAGGAAGUAAAAGUCGUAACAAGGUUUCUGUAGGUGAACCUGCAGAAGGAUCAUUAGUGAAGAUUUGGGCAGGCCAUACGGACGCCAAAAAGUGUCCCUGGCCGCCUACACCCACUAUACAUCCACAAACCCGUGUGCACUGUCUUGGAGAAAGGCUUCAGAGAAGUUUUUUGUGGCCUCUCUUGGGGUCUUUCUUCGCUACAAACUCGAAUGGUUAGUAUGAACGUGGAACUUGGUUGGACCGUCACUGGCCAACAAACUAUACACAACUUUCGACAACGGAUCUCUUGGUUCUCCCAUCGAUGAAGAACGCAGC